UGGGGGAUAUUGGACAAUGGGGGGAACCCUGAUCCAGCGAUGCCGCGUGGGUGAAGAAGGCCUUUGGGUUGUAAAGCCCUUUAGGUUGGGACGAAGUGCUAGAGUUUAAGAGAUACUAGCAUUGACGGUACCGACAGAAUAAGCACCGGCAAACUCUGUGCCAGCAGCCGCGGUAAUACAGAGGGUGCGAGCGUUAAUCGGAAUUACUGGGCGUAAAAGGCGCGUAGGCGGUGAGGGAAGUGGGAUGUGAAAGUCCAGGGCUUAACCUUGGGAUUGCAUUCUAGACUCUCUGACUGGAGUAUAGGAGAGGGUGGCGGAAUUUCCGGUGUAGCGGUGAAAUGCGUAGAGAUCGGAAGGAACGUCGAUGGCGAAGGCAGCCACCUGGCCUGAUACUGACGCUGAGGCGCGAGAGCGUGGGGAGCGAACAG
rnacentral:rRNA from 1 species